CCUACGGGAGGCAGCAGUAGGGAAUCUUCCGCAAUGGACGAAAGUCUGACGGAGCAACGCCGCGUGAGCGAUGAAGGCCUUCGGGUCGUAAAGCUCUGUUGUUAGGGAAGAACAAGUAUCGGAGUAACUGCCGGUACCUUGACGGUACCUAACCAGAAAGCCACGGCUAACUACGUGCCAGCAGCCGCGGUAAUACGUAGGUGGCAAGCGUUGUCCGGAAUUAUUGGGCGUAAAGCGCGCGCAGGCGGUCCUUUAAGUCUGAUGUGAAAGCCCACGGCUCAACCGUGGAGGGUCAUUGGAAACUGGGGGACUUGAGUACAGAAGAGGAAAGCGGAAUUCCACGUGUAGCGGUGAAAUGCGUAGAGAUGUGGAGGAACACCAGUGGCGAAGGCGGCUUUCUGGUCUGUAACUGACGCUGAGGCGCGAAAGCGUGGGGAGCAAACAGGAUUAGAUACCCUGGUAGUCCACGCCGUAAACGAUGAGUGCUAAGUGUUAGGGGGUUUCCGCCCCUUAGUGCUGCAGCUAACGCAUUAAGCACUCCGCCUGGGGAGUACGGCCGCAAGGCUGAAACUCAAAGGAAUUGACGG
rnacentral:rRNA from 1 species